CUUAGCCGCUAAUACAGAAGCGAGGUGAGCACGUCAGCAAAACGAAACCUCCGAAGAAAGACAACGUCGCUUAGCCGCUAAUACAGAAGCGAGGUGAGCACAUCAGCAAAAUGAAACCUCCGAAGAAAGACAAAGUCGCUUAGCCGCUAAUACAGAAGCGAGGUGAGCACAUCAGCAAAACGAAACCUCUGAAGAAGGACAAAGUCGCUUAGCCGCUAAUACAGAACUGAGGUGAGCACAUCAGCAAAACGAAACCUCAGAAGAAAGACAAAGUCGCAAAGCCGCUAAUACAGAAGUGAGGUGAGCACAUCAGCAAAACGAAACCUCCGAAGAAAGACAACGUCGCUUAGCCGCUAAUACAGAAGCGAGGUGAGCACAUCAGCAAAAUGAAACCUCCGAAGAAAGACAAAGUCGCUUAGCCGCUAAUACAGAAGCGAGGUGAGCACAUCAGCAAAACGAAACCUCUGAAGAAGGACAAAGUCGCUUAGCCGCUAAUACAGA